rnacentral:rRNA from 1 species
UCCGUAGGUGAACCUGCGGAAGGAUCAUUACCUAGAGUUGUAGGCUUCUGUCUACCAUCUCUUACCCAUGUCUAUAAGUACCUUCGUUUCCUCGGCGGGUCCGCCCGCCGAUUGGACAAUUUAAACCAUUUGCAGUUGCAAUCAGCGUCUGAAAAAACUUAAUAAUUACAACUUUCAACAACGGAUCUCUUGGUUCUGGCAUCGAUGAAGAACGCAGCGAAAUGCGAUAAGUAGUGUGAAUUGCAGAAUUCAGUGAAUCAUCGAAUCUUUGAACGCACAUUGCGCCCCUUGGUAUUCCAUGGGGCAUGCCUGUUCGAGCGUCAUUUGUACCUUCAAGCCUUGCUUGGUGUUGGGUGUUUGUCUCGCCUUUGCGCGCAGACUCGCCUCAAAACAAUUGGCAGCCGGCGUAUUGAUUUCGGAGCGCAGUACAUCUAGCGCUUUGCCUUCAGAACGACGACGUCCAAAAGUACAUUUUUACACUCUUGACCUCGGAUCAGGUAGGGAUACCCGCUGAACUUAAA